rnacentral:rRNA from 1 species
GAGUUUGAUCCUGGCUCAGAUUGAACGCUGGCGGCAGGCCUAACACAUGCAAGUCGAACGGUAACAGGAAGCAGCUUGCUGCUAUGCUGACGAGUGGCGGACGGGUGAGUAAUGUCUGGGAAACUGCCUGAUGGAGGGGGAUAACUACUGGAAACGGUAGCUAAUACCGCAUAACGUCGCAAGACCAAAGAGGGGGACCUUCGGGCCUCUUGCCAUCGGAUGUGCCCAGAUGGGAUUAGCUAGUAGGUGGGGUAACGGCUCACCUAGGCGACGAUCCCUAGCUGGUCUGAGAGGAUGACCAGCCACACUGGAACUGAGACACGGUCCAGACUCCUACGGGAGGCAGCAGUGGGGAAUAUUGCACAAUGGGCGCAAGCCUGAUGCAGCCAUGCCGCGUGUAUGAAGAAGGCCUUCGGGUUGUAAAGUACUUUCAGCGGGGAGGAAGGGAGUAAAGUUAAUACCUUUGCUCAUUGACGUUACCCGCAGAAGAAGCACCGGCUAACUCCGUGCCAGCAGCCGCGGUAAUACGGAGGGUGCAAGCGUUAAUCGGAAUUACUGGGCGUAAAGCGCACGCAGGCGGUUUGUUAAGUCAGAUGUGAAAUCCCCGGGCUCAACCUGGGAACUGCAUCUGAUACUGGCAAGCUUGAGUCUCGUAGAGGGGGGUAGAAUUCCAGGUGUAGCGGUGAAAUGCGUAGA